rnacentral:rRNA from 1 species
CCUACGGUAGGCUGCAGUGGGGAAUAUUGGACAAUGGGCGAAAGCCUGAUCCAGCCAUGCCGCGUGUGUGAAGAAGGCCUUCGGGUUGUAAAGCACUUUCAGUGGGGAAGAAAGCCUUGGGGCUAAUACCCUCGAGGAAGGACAUCACCCACAGAAGAAGCACCGGCUAACUCCGUGCCAGCAGCCGCGGUAAUACGGAGGGUGCGAGCGUUAAUCGGAAUUACUGGGCGUAAAGCGCGCGUAGGCGGUCUGAUAAGCCGGUUGUGAAAGCCCCGGGCUCAACCUGGGAACGGCAUCCGGAACUGUCAGGCUAGAGUGCAGGAGAGGAAGGUAGAAUUCCCGGUGUAGCGGUGAAAUGCGUAGAGAUCGGGAGGAAUACCAGUGGCGAAGGCGGCCUUCUGGACUGACACUGACGCUGAGGUGCGAAAGCGUGGGUAGCAAACAGGAUUAGAUACCCCGGUAGUC